AGCUGAUCACUGGGUGUAAAGCGUGCGCAGGCGGUUUUGUAAGACAGAGGUGAAAUCCCCGGGCUCAACCUGGGAACUGCCUUUGUGACUGCAAGGCUGGAGUGCGGCAGAGGGGGAUGGAAUUCCGCGUGUAGCAGUGAAAUGCGUAGAUAUGCGGAGGAACACCGAUGGCGAAGACAAUCCCCUGGGCCUGCACUGACGCUCAUGCACGAAAGCGUGGGGAGCAAACA
rnacentral:rRNA from 1 species